CAAAGAAGUCCUCCCCUUGCCUUUUUCCCACUUCCCCGACUCAGAAAUGCUCACGGCAGCUGUUAAACCAGUCGACUUCCACUGCUCCAUCCUUCUUUCCUUCCAUCUCUCCCCUUGCCAACCCAUGAUGUCAUACUUAGUCCAUGGGUGUUUGGCAGAGAGGCCCCUCCAGCCUCCUCCUGGACACUGCAUCUCUCCCUCUUGGCCCCUUAAUGAUGGGAAUCAACCAUAGCCCAGGGGGCAAAUAACCAAGCUGGCCUCUUCCCCUGGCUACCCCACACCUGAAGGAAGUCUAGGUCCAAGUUUCCGCCCAAAGGCAGGCUGGCUGUGAUUGGUCAGGGAGAACAGAAAGAGUGAACUCUUCCCCCAAAAGCUACUGAGGGUUAGGAGGGACCUCUCAGCCCUCAUCGUCAAACCUCCCUCCAAACACAGGAGUGGCCUCAUUUCCAUCCUCACCCUGGUGAGGUCCGGUGUCCACUCACAAACCACCCACAUGAGCCUGCUCCCUCCCUCAGAGGCCCAUCCUUGGACAGUUCUAAAUACUGGUGAGCUCCCCUUUAUUUUGGAAGGAGUCCAUCUCCACGUAGACACACCUCUCCAAAUCCAUGUGUCGUCUGGGAUCCUAGAGAAGAACAAAAACCUUCUCUCAAGUCAUCCCCUUAAUUAUUUAACAUGGGUAACCUUGGACACUGAGUCUUGAGUUCCUUAGACUGAGAGCGUUGUGUUCUUUCAGCUGGUCCCUGUAAGUCACAGUUUCCAAUUCUUUGUCAUCCUGGGCAUUCCCUCCUGAACACACCUUGUGUCUCCUGUGCCAUUUAAAGGGGAUCCAGGCUUGAAAACCACAAUCCAACACAUAGUAGUGUAGAGGUGCCAGCUCCUGCCUUCUAAUCACUGUAUAAUAUCCAGCCUAGAAAGCUUUCAAGCUUUUCCUUGUACAUAUAAUAUGUGUGUGUGUGUGUGUGUGUGUGUGUGUGUGUGUGUGUGUGUGUGUGUGUAUGUGUGUGUUUGACACCAUGCCGCAGCCUUGGUUUAUAGUGAACUUACAGUCAGUGAAAACCUUUAUGUCUUUUCUUCAUGUGCUGCUGACAAGCCAUUCCUCCCUCAUCUUUUACUUGAACAGUUUGCUUCACCUUUCUUGUAUUACGAGUAAAUUAGCAGUUCAGGGCAGCCUGUACAUGCACUACAAGAGGCUUCAUUAGUAGAUUCCCCCCCGCCCCUGCUUCUAGAGUCUUCUCUUCUUUAUACACCUUUUAGAACAAGCCUUAGCCACGAACUGGCCUCUUUGGUACUGUAGACUCACCUGUGAUUAUCUGAGGGGGAAGGAAGAGGGCAAUGAGUGAGGGGGGCCAGAGCCCAGAUGGGGCAGAUCGCCUGUCAUCGGGGCUGCUUGGGGAGCCAACAGAGGCCUCUCUGGCUCCUGGAUUCUAAUAUUCCCAUUGACAAUACACACCAGGCAACAUGGAGCCUAGUAACAUCACAGAAUAAUAGUAGCUGUCAUUUUUGAGCAGUUACCAAUGGCUGGUUUUACAUCAACUAAGGCAUUUAAUCCUGAUAGUAAGUCAGGUAAAAAUUCAACCCACUUCACAGAUGAGAAAAGUGAGGUUUGAAGACAUUGCUAGUCCAACUGGGAUUUGUACAGAGUUCUGUCCGAAUCAAACCUCAAAUCUCAGCCAUUCUACUUGGAACACUGUAAGUGUUCAUUCUGUAGAUGUGACCUCUAUUCCAGGUAGCUAAGCAGCAGAGUGAGACCCUGAGAGACGCAAGCAUGCUGGAGGAACCACAUCAUAGACCCUCUUGGCUUCCCCUUCCCUGCCCCCCCACAUCCAGACUGUGGCAGGUCAUAAAAUCUUUCCUUGGGUCCAGAGGACAGGUAGCAGAUACCCUCCAAGCACAUUCUGUUAGACAUCAUAGAGAAAGAAGAAUGUCCAUCCCUGGCUGCCUCACAGGUUCCAAUGGGACAUGAUCAACAGAUCAAUCACGUGCUAUCGACCCCCUACCAGAUAGUCAGCACCAAGCCAGGCCCUGACCCACAGAGAUGUAUUAGCCUGUCUGGUCCCUGUAGAGCUGUGCUUGGUGGACAAGACUUCCACACCAGGAGUUCCCAUACUGGCUCAGCAGAAACAAAUCUGACUAGUAUCCAUGAUGAUGCAGGUCCAAUCCCUGGCCUCACUCAGUGGGUUAAGGAUCUAGGGUUGCCAUGAGCUGUGGUGUAAUUUGGCAGCUGCAGCUCCCAUUCGACACCUGGUCUGGGACCCUCCAUAUGCUGUGGGUGCAGCCAUAAAAAGACAAAAAAAAAAAAAAAAGACUUGCGCACCAGACACAGCAAGAGAGAACUAGGACAGUAAGCUGUCAUGAGCCAGUUUCUGUGAAGCGGGUACUCAGUGCUAUAGGAGUUAGUUCCCCAGUUUUGGGGGAAUAUGUUGUACCUACAGUAGGUCCUGAUGGGUAGGUGGGUUAUGAUAUGAGAGCUGGAGAAAUUAGAGGGAGAUCCCACAGGAAGAGGGAAAUGAAACAUACGUAAGAAUCCUUUGGAAUCCAAAAGAGCCAUGCAGUAAGUGCCAGGUGGCACUAAAUGUCAUGUGCAACCAUGGAUAUUCUUGCCCCAGUCUGGAUCACUGACAACUCCCCUAUUAUACGUCAACCUGAAUCCAUCCCUCCUCGCUCCCCUGUGGUUUCUGGUUCUAACCCCUCUGCUUCGAUCCACUUUGUUCCUAACACAUGGAGAGGGCAGGUCUCAGAACACCAAGAUCUUCAGGACUUUACCGCUAGAGUUGGGUGGUACCAGCGCUGGGAAUGGAACAGAGCACAUCUCCCUCUGGGCCUGUCAAAAGAGUAGUUUUGUCUGGUCCUAAACAUAUAAACAGUGAAAGCAUCCCCUCAAAACCAGAGAGCUGCUGUCAAGAAAAAAAGCCUCAGCAGCAGGUGGAAUGUGGGGUGGGAAAUGGUCUGGCAGGGAAGACGUGGGAGGCGGGGGGAGAAAAAGAGAGGGUGGCAAAGAGGCACAGAAAAUAGGGGGGCCUGGAGGAAAGAGGGGAAGGAUGGGGUGGGGGGAGAAAGAAUGGGCGGGGUGGAAGGGGAGGAAAUAGGGAGAAAGAUAAGUCAGAGGAAACCAAGGUCCAGUGGGGGGAAGGGUGGGGAGCCAUGUGCAGAGUGGCAGCUAUCUUAAUCUCUUUAAAUUUUUCCUCAUUGAUUAGGGAUUUGCAGCCAAAUCCCUUGCUCUGGGAAGACAUUUGCUUUGCUCCUUCUCUGCUGUCAAAGUGAGGGAGGCCUCUCCCCGGGUGGGGCUGGCCGUGCAGUGCAGUGUGAAGCCCGACAGAGAGAGAGAAGGUCUAGGAAUCCUCUCCUUGCUCCACGCCCCAUCCAAAUCCACCUCCUCGGGGCAGCCUUCCUUGAUGUCCUUGAAAAAAAGGGCUCCUCCAGGGCCCCUCCAGCGCCUGCUCUGAGUUCCUGUUUCAUUAUAUUAUUACCUCUAUAGCUUCCAGAAUGUAGUAGCUUGAAACAGUGACUAUUUCACCCAUCGUCACAAUUCCUAGGGUCAGGAAUUCAGACAGGGACAGUGGGAAUGGCUCAUCUCUGCCUCACAUAGUGUCAGCUGGGCUGGAAUGCCUGUGGAGCUUCUUCAUCCGUGUGCUUGGCAACCCCGCGAGGAUGGUUCCACUGGGUCAUUUGCUGGAACUUCAUUCUCACUGUUGACUGCUUCCUAGUUCUCCUCCAUGAAGUCAGGUGGAAAUGCAUGUUGGAGGUAUGAACAUGUGACUAAAAAAUGGACAGAAAGAACACUGAUGAUUUGAGGUGCCACUCAAGUCCAAGGACUCUGAGUGGUGUGACAAGGCCCACACAUCUUGGCUCAGGCUCUCCCAGCUGGCCUCUAACUGGGCAUGAGGAGAAGUGGCUCAGUGUCUUUGGGGUGAGCAGGGGCGUGGCCCACAUCAAGGCCACUCCCAGGAGGGUGCCUCUCACACCCAGGAUCCUACCUCAUCUGGAGUCUCCUCCCCUGUCCCUGCGACCCUGCCUCUGGUUCUGCUGCUUCUCAAAACCUCUGUUGAGUCAGCAGAGGGAGGAAUGAACUUUGCUCCAUUUCCAGGAACUCAUUAUUAGCUUAGUUCUCUGCUGUUUGUCUAUUUGCUUUCUUACCUUGCCAGAAGCUCCGUGAACCCAAGGAGUUAUCUUCUUUAGAUUCUUUCUCACCUAUUUCUAACUGUCUCCUGGAUGUCUAUGAUAAUACUGGGAUUUUUUUUUUUUUUGAGAUUCCCAUAAAUAUUGAACGACCAGAAACUUGGCAUUUGUGGAUGGUCUAUGCCUUUUUUACAGGGUUUUUAUAACCAUCUUCAAGUCAUCCUCCUUUUAAGUCUGGGGAAGGAUACAGGGCAUUUGACUUACUGAAAGAGAGACUGAGGAUUUGCUCAAGGUCACACCACCUCAAGGUCAAUGACAGUAAGGAAAUCAAUCCCUGGUGAGAUUCUGUUUAGGCUGGCUGAGUGGGUGACCUUCCCACAGAGCCCAGGGCUGUCUUGGGUGCAGUUCCCCAUUCAUGGUGCUGGCUGGGGCGCUGUAGGGGCUGAUUAAACAGCUCGUGACCAAAAGGCAGUUAUUGAUUUGUUUCACUGGGUCCCAGUCUCCCAGUCGUGCCUCACUCCCCUAGCUGUUCAGGAAGUCUGAUUCACCUCUCAUGUGGCCCUUCAGCAGAGCCUCCUGCUAGUUUAUGCUCCUCAUUUCAAAGUUGUGGGAACUGAGUCCAGGGAGGGGAAAAGACCGAGUCAGAGCCACUUGGGUGGUUAGCAUCAAGAUCAUGAGAAGAAACCAGGUCUCCCACACACACUACUCAUCAGGGUCAGGAGUCAUAGUUUUCCAGCAUUCUCUCUUAGUAAUGGGACUCCAGAGCCUCCUUCCAAAUUUGUACUCAGAAAAAAAAAAAAAAAUGGUGGAAGAAAAAUUAAGAGUAGUGAUGAAAGAAAAAAAAAA
rnacentral:lncRNA from 1 species